AUGCUCAAAAUUCUCCAAGCCAGACUUCAGCAAUAUGUGAACCAUGAACACCCUGAUGUUCAAGCUGGUUUUAGAAAAGGCAGAGGAACCAGACAUCAAAUUGCCAACAUCUGCUGGAUCAUAGAAAAAGCAAGAAAGUUCCAGAAAAGUAUCUAUUUCUGCUUUAUUGACUAUGCCAAAGCCUUUGAUUGUGUGGAUCACAAUAAACUAUGGAAAAUUCUUCAAGAGAUAGGAAUACCAGACCACCUGACCUGCCUCUUGAGAAAUCUGUAUGCAGGUCAGGAAACAACAGUUAGAACUGGACAUGGAACAACAGACUGGUUCCAAAUAGGAAAAGGAGUACGUCAAAGCUGUAUAUUGUCACCCUGCUUAUUUAACUUCUAUGCAGAGUACAUCAUGAGAAACGCUGGGUUGGAAGAAACACAAGCUGGAAUCAAGAUUGCUGGGAGAAAUAUCAAUAACCUCAGAUAUGCAGAUGACACCACCCUUAUGGCAGAAAGUGAAGAGGAGCUAAAAAGCCUCUUGAUGAAAGUGAAAGAGGAGAGUGAAAAAGCUGGCUUAAAGCUCAGCAUUCAGAAAACAAAGAUCAUGGCAUCUGGCUCCAUCACUUCAUGGGAAAUAGAUGGAGAAACAGUAGAAACAGUGUCAGACUUUAUUUUUCUGGGCUCCAAAAUCACUGCAGAUGGUGACUGCAGCCAUGAAACUAAAAGACGCUUACUCCUUGGAAGAAAAGUUAUGACCAACCUAGAUAGUAUAUUCAAAAGCAGAGACAUUACUUUGCCGACUAAGGUCCAUCUAGUCAAGGCUACUGUUUUUCCAGUGGUCAUGUAUGGAUGUGAGAGUUGGACUGUGAAGAAGGCUGAGCACCGAAGAAUUGAUGCUUUUGAACUGUGGUGUGGGAGAAGACUCUUGAGGGUCCCUUGGACUGCAAGGAGAUCCAACCAGUCCAUUCUGAAGGAGAUCAGCCCUGGGAUUUCUUUGGAAGGAAUGAUGCUAAAGCUGAAACUCCAGUACUUUGGCCACCUCAUGAGAAGAGUUGACUCAUUGGAAAAGACUCUGAUGCUGGGAGAGAUUGGGGGCAGGAGGAGAAGGGGACGACCGACAAUGAGAUGGCUGGAUGGCAUCGCUGACUCGAUGGACGUGAGUCUGAGUGAACUCCGGGAGAUGGUGAUGGACAGGGAGGGCUGGCGUGCUGCGAUUCAUGGGGUCGCAAAGAGUCGGACAUGA
rnacentral:lncRNA from 1 species